AAGGGGUCUUGCUAUUAAGAAUCUUGUAGAUUGGAACAAAUCUUUGAUCAUGAUGCAUCUUUGGAAAGUCAUUACUCCUAAUUCUAAUUCUAUCUGGGCUAUAUGGGUUCGUGAAGUUCAGCUUAACGUAAAUUUUCCUGGAUUACCCAUAUCCCUAAUGAUUGCUCUUGGAUCUGGAGAAAAGUGCUUCAAUUAAGAGAGCUUGCUCGUAGACAUGUAUCCUUUUGUAUUGGCAAUGGUGCUAACACGAGUCUAUGGUUUGAUCUGUGGCUUGGGCAAAACCCUUUGGCUUUCUCAGCGCACUCUUCCCUGAUUGUCAACUCUGGGCUUGGGCCAAA
rnacentral:lncRNA from 1 species